UGAGAGAACUCCUUUUCUCUAUCGUUCCUUUCAAAACCCUAGCGUCGCAGACACAUUUUCUUCAAAAAAAAUUGACAUCAAACACCGAUUUCACAUCUUCAUUACAGGUAGGAUUAUGUUCUAUCAUUUACCAGUUUGUCAUCGAUAUAUCAUUUACUAGAUUUUCACUCUCAAAACCCUAAAUCUCAAUCUAAAGAAACUAAGCAUAAGGUAUGAUGUUUGUGUUCUAUGUUUAUGUGUUCAUCAUUUAUCCUGCCAUAAACCCUAAUGUAGUAACAACCGAAUAGCCCAUCAGUUAUUUUUACCGCCGCAGUCGCAAGCAUUCCGGUCAAGCUUCGCCGGAGUCGAUCGAACUCCAGUUCAAGGUUUGCAGCAAUUGAAUGCAAAAAGUCUCAUAAGGUUUUGCCCAGUUGAUGCAAAAGUCUUUUCGCCUUUUUAGCAGUAACUUGGAAACAAUGGGUGCAUGGACCAGUCAAAUUGAGCAAAGAAAAGUUGCUAAGGUUGGAGACUAAUCAUCGAAAAAAAUCAUGUUAUCAGUUAUUUACCGUUAACAGUAAUAUAUCACUCUGUUUGUAUUUAUUUUAUUUAUAAACUUAUAAUUAAUGUAAAUCAAAAUUUCCUACCCGGGAAGUUCCCGGGUGAUAACCUAGUUAAUGAUAUAUGUAAGUUUACUAAUAUACCCUUAUAGUUACAUUAAGUACAAAUAUUAAAUGAGGUCUAAUGAAGCAUUUCUAUUGGUU
rnacentral:lncRNA from 1 species